CUGUGAUGAGGGGUGGAGCCUGGCUGCACCUCUCUUAGACCUCAUUUAAGGGCUGACCCCCACUGGGGAAGGAUCUCUGGUUGGAGAUCUCUCCCUUCUGGAUUUUUCCUUGCGAGCGUAGAUCUUCGGAGCUGGAGAUGUUCAAAGCUUCCGGAUGACAGAGCCGGAGAGGCCUUUAUGCUGCACGGACUCAGUGACCACAAGGCGAGUAAAGGUCUCUUCUAGCAAAAACAACAAAGAAAGCCCAAACUCAGGAGGCAGAAUCCACUGAAGAUGCUGAAAAUCUGAAGCUGUGAAUGAAAGAGAAGACUGUUUACCAGGCAAUAUGGGAGCUCUCAGUUUGCAGUGGUAAAAAUCCUCUGGUCUUGGUGAUUUCUCCAUGAAACCAAUGUCAAGAGUCGCGGUGACAAGGGCUGGGGAGAGGAUUAGGGACAACGAAGGGCAGGAAAGAAGGGAAGGUCCAGGAGAAGCACAUGUUCCCAGAGCCACCUGUCUGCAAUUCAGCAUCCCAUGGACACAGGCACAGGCCUGAGAUGAGGCAAUGCAGGCUCUUUUCUGCCCCCAGAACGUAUGCAUCAAGGGACAUUUGGAAGGACCAAAUGGUUCUCUACGUGGAUGGCUCCAGAAAAGCAUUUGUCACACCGAAAACCACACUGGUGCUGGGGAGCUGCCAUCUCACAAGAGAGCACACAUGGUUGGAAAAGGACAGGAUUUAUGGAGACAAAGCGCAGUGCAGCCUGGAGUGGUCACAGCCUCACCUCACAGCAAUAUGCUGUGCAUGGAUCAGAGCUGACUGGUGUUUGUCACCCAAGAGGUAAAAUGAGCUGCUACUGGAAUGCAGGGUUGAUCACCAGAAUGCUCCAGGUGUUUGAUUUGGGUGCAUGGAAAGACAAAAGGCUGCAGUCCAGAGCACAUGGUCUUGCUGCCUGCCUCUUGCCCUGACCCAUGGGUGUCCCACAGACUGGGUGCAUCAGCAGAUCCUCCAUCACCAGCAGAGCUGUCCCUAACAAAACCUGGAAAGCAGCAGCAGCUGUUGCUGCCAUUCAUCCCCAACCUCCUGGAGACAUCACUCCUCAAAGCCCUGCUUUGAAACCUAUGGCAGGCAGCCCUGCAUCAGAGGUCUAAUUACAUGGUAACUGGUGACCCCAUAAGUACAGGGUAAUCUGCUGUGUAACACCACAGUAAAUCAUCCUGGUACUUCUGUCUUUUCUACCACAGCCCUCUGCAGAGAUGGAAAUACAACUGGUCAAAGGGUAGUUAAUUUUUGAGGUUCAUCCAAGCUGCUGAGGAGCAACCUGCAAGAGGUCAUGGGCCCUGUGCAGGGCACGGGACAUGCUCAGGAGCCAUCAUCACAAUACCACCCUACCCUACUGCCACCCUGUCAGUGGCACCUAUGCUUUCCUCUGAAUCCAUCAGAAGCAGCUAUGCACAGUCCCAGGCAUUCACACAUCACAGCUCCAGGAGAACCAACACAGAGCUCUGCACUCCUCCCCAUCACGGGAUGCUUUGCUGCUGGGGGCUGCAAACAGCCUGCUGACCCCUGAGAUCUUCAUGGCAAUGGAAUAUAUUUGCAUACACUCUAGAAACUGCUGACAUCUUUCCCUCUGAAGAGCUUCAGGCUUUUAUAGUAACCACAGCAAUGAUUUCCAGAUUACAGGCUAAUAAAAUACGUUAAUUUGUUAGCAACGUUGAGGUGGGCAUUGUACAGUUCUUACGACAUUUAAAAUAUUCAUAUAGAACAACAACAACAGCUUUCUGAGUGGAUUUCUUUACCAAACAGGAGCACUGAAAUAGAAUGCCAAAAUCCCGUGCUGGUACCCAGAUCAGCUCUGACACCUCCCGCCCAUGCCUGUUUCACUUGAAUACCUGCCAAGCUAAAUAAGCAAAUGUGGUUUUGUCAAGUGAGACCUCCUCCUGAGCAGCUCCAGCAGUUUACGCUCCAUCCAAGCUUGGAUGGCUCUCCAUGUGCCAUUGCUCUCUGUUGUGUGGGUCAGAGCUCUUGAGUGCUGAUGCUUUGGAGCGAACAAGACCGCACCGAACGAAGCAGGGGCAUCUGAGAGGACAGAUGCCUUCACAGCUCCAUAGGUGGAAUUGAUUCUGGCUUUUGUCACGCUUUCUG